GAUUAGUACCGUGAGGGAAUGGUGAAAAGUACCCCGGGAGGGGAGUGAAAUAGUACCUGAAACCGUGUGCCUACAAUCCGUCAGAGCCUCCUCGUGGGGUGAUGGCGUGCCUUUUGAAGAAUGAGCCUGCGAGUCAGGGACACGUCGCGAGGUUAACCCGUGCGGGGUAGCCGCAGCGAAAGCGAGUCUGAAUAGGGCGCAUCCCCUUUGGGGUGUAGUGGCGUGUUCUGGACCCGAAGCGGAGUGAUCUACCCAUGGCCAGGGUGAAGCGCGGGUAAGACCGCGUGGAGGCCCGAACCCACUUAGGUUGAAGACUGAGGGGAUGAGCUGUGGGUAGGGGUGAAAGGCCAAUCAAACUCCGUGAUAGCUGGUUCUCCCCGAAAUGCAUUUAGGUGCAGCGUUGCGUGGUUCACCACGGAGGUAGAGCUACUGGAUGGCCGAUGGGCCCUACUAGGUUACUGACGUCAGCCAAACUCCGAAUGCCGUGGUGUAAAGCGUGGCAGUGAGACGGCGGGGGAUAAGCUCCGUACGUCGAAAGGGAAACAGCCCAGAUCGCCGGCUAAGGCCCCUAAGCGUGUGCUAAGUGGAAAAGGAUGUGUAGUCGCAGAGACAACCAGGAGGUUGGCUUAGAAGCAGCCACCCUUGAAAGAGUGCGUAAUAGCUCACUGGUCAAGUGAUUAUGCGCCGAUAAUGUAGCGGGGCUCAAGCACACCGCCGAAGCCGCGGCACAUUCAUCUUUACGGUGGAUGUGGGUAGGGGAGCGUCCCCCAUUCAGCGAAGCCUCCGGGUGACCGGUGGUGGAGGGUGGGGGAGUGAGAAUGCAGGCAUGAGUAGCGAUAAGGCAAGUGAGAACCUUGCCCGCCGUAAGACCAAGGGUUCCUGGGCCAGGCCAGUCCGCCCAGGGUGAGGCGGGACCUAAGGCGAGGCCGACAGGCGUAGUCGAUGGACAACGGGUUGAUAUUCCCGUACCCGUGUAUGGGCGUCCCUGAUGAAUCAGCGGUACUAACCACCCAAAACCGGAUCGACCAUUCCCCUUCGGGGGCGUGGCGAUUCGGGGCUGCGUGGGACCUUCGCUGGUAGUAGUCAAGCAAUGGGGUGACGCAGGAAGGCAGCCGUACCAGUCAGUGGUAAUACUGGGG
rnacentral:rRNA from 1 species